GGCUGUGAGGGCAAUCUAGCUGUGACAUCUGUCACCCAUUGAUCGCUAGGGUUGAUUCAGCUGAUCCAGCUGGCUAAGCAGGUAACUCCUUCCCCCCUCGUUGCUCCAUGUGUGUCCCUCUGGAAGCUGUGUGCUCAGUUGAAGAGGAUGACCACCCCUGAUAGAGAAGGACUGUUUCCUUGGUCAAGGGUAGGCAAGUAGCUAUGUUCCCCUGCUAAAAUCUCUAGUCAGGCUCUCAAGAGAACUCCUCUGUGCCUGUGUCUAUGCAUUAGCAAUGGGUAGCUCAUCACUGUAAAUGUACCUGCUUCUGGAGAUGGUUUUUGCAUUUCUAAUUGAGC
rfam:Fukomys damarensis contig82615, whole genome shotgun sequence.